GCAGCAAACAAAUCGAUCUUUUCAAAGAGGUUGAUGGGGUUAGAAGUUACAGAUACCUGUAUGGAAAAGGAGCAAGGUGUUUCUCCGGAUUCAAGUUACAUGAGAGAUGGUAAUCAAGAUGUGUUGCAGUCAUCUGAGCAUGCCAUUGGGGAGCAGAGAACUGAUAUGCUGAAUGACAAUGUUGAAACAGAGGAGCAUGAAGCGAAGGACUGCACAGCUGAAAUGUCAGUUGAUAGCAGACAGGAACAAGAUCGACCAGGCACAAAGGUAAAAGAUGAUAACGGGAGAUCAAGAUCUUCCGUGAAAUCAAUAACCAAAUCUGUUGCUGGAAGCUGUAAAACAAAGUGCACUGUUCCCCAGCCAUUUGCUCUGGCAACUGAGAGGCGCUCUUCUCAUGGAACACGUCCUGUUAGGAAUGAUGCAGGUGACGUGAGUGCUGCACAGAAGCCAUCUGAAACAAAUAAUUUGCAAGCCCCGAGAUCUGUACAAAACCAGGUUUCUUCAUCAGUUGCACUUAAGAAGCCACUGCAAUCUGAUAAUAAGAAAUAUUCUGAUGAGGAAGACUCGUCAAUUGCCUCUUGUGAUGUGAUCUCAGCAAGAAAAUCCAGGGUCACUGUAGCGGCAGCCCCAGUAUUUCUGUCCUCUGAACGUGCAGCAAGAAGGAAGGAGUUUUACUCAAAGUUGGAGGAGAAACAUCAAGCUUUGGAGGCUGAGAAAAUUCAAUGCGAGGAAAGGACAAAGGAGGAAAGAGAAGCAGCUAUGAAGCAAAUGAGAAGGAAUUUGUUGUUUAAGGCAAACCCAAUGCCGAGUUUCUACCAUGAAGGACCUCCACCUAAGGCUGAACUGAAAAAGCCACCACCAACCCGUGCAAAAUCACCAAAAUUUUGCAGAAGGAAGAGCUGUGGUGACACAGGUGGCUUGGAUAAAGAUGUAGGAGCUUAUGAUAGAGGAAGUCAGCAUAUUCUUGGUUACGAUGCAAAUACCACCUUUGCUUCUAGAAAUAGUAAAGACAGUCUCAAUAACCGACGGGGUUCUGCUACUUACAACUUUAACAAUGAGUCCAAUCACGCAGGGGGGACAAAUGAGUCAUAAAUGACUGAGAAGCAAGACGACAUGAAUAUGGAUAUUAGCGUUCAUUCUUGAGCCUUUGUCCAGCCUCAUAGCAUGUCUGGCAAUGAGACUCCAAAAGGAAGGUUGUGAAGGAAGUUUGAUGAUUUUUUCCAUAUCACACAAGGUGAGUGAUUGUACUUAGUGAGGGAAAACAAAAUGAGAGGCACAGGGGCCAUGAAGAUGUGCUUUAGUGGUGCAGUAAACUUUUGUUUUCCUCAAUUUGGGUAGGAGUAAUGAUGUAAAGUUUGGAAAGCAAAAGGGGAAGAUGUAAAUGGAGCGUAAAGCAAGUUAUGCUCAAGUGUUCGUGUAGAUAUUCUGCAAAAUGUGACUUUUUAGUUAGAAAGUGACUUACAUAUGUGGAACCAAAAUCACAGUCAAAAAGGUCCAAAUCUUAAAAUUUGUGUAUGCUUUUCAAAUCUUGAAGUUAGUGUGACUUUUAAACUUGGUAUAUAU